AGUGAACGCUGGCGGUAGGCCUAACACAUGCAAGUCGAACGGCAGCACAGUAAGAGCUUGCUCUUACGGGUGGCGAGUGGCGGACGGGUGAGGAAUACAUCGGAAUCUACUUUUUCGUGGGGGAUAACGUAGGGAAACUUACGCUAAUACCGCGUACGACCUACGGGUGAAAGCAGGGGAUCUUCGGACCUUGCGCGAUUGAAUGAGCCGAUGUCGGAUUAGCUAGUUGGCGGGGUAAAGGCCCACCAAGGCGACGAUCCGUAGCUGGUCUGAGAGGAUGAUCAGCCACACUGGAACUGAGACACGGUCCAGACUCCUACGGGAGGCAGCAGUGGGGAAUAUUGGACAAUGGGCGCAAGCCUGAUCCGGCCAUACCGCGUGGGUGAAGAAGGCCUUCGGGUUGUAAAGCCCUUUUGUUGGGAAAGAAAAGCAGCAGGUUAAUACCCCGCUGUUCUGACGGUACCCAAAGAAUAAGCACCGGCUAACUUCGUG
rnacentral:rRNA from 1 species